CCACUGAAGAAAGCAUGCACAGUGUUUCCCAAAAGCUCUGUGUUCUUGGGAGCAACCAAGAUGCAAUCGGUCAGAGAAAUGGUUUCUUCCCGGAUCCAUGUGAGUUAAACUGUUGUGUGACUGGAGAUACUCGCGCCUGCAGAGUUGUGGUGACAAGCAAGCCCUCCUCUUUGCUCCCUGUCUGAAGUCUGCAUGUUCCAUGAGUCCUUCAGGGAGCCUGAUUCUUAUAAGGGGGUCACUGAACGAACCACAACAGUGUCUUCCUUGGAGAAAAGGAAAGGAAAUCGCCACCGUUUGAGAACACCACACAAAUUCAUUCCCGUCAGAUGCUGUCCAUGUGUGAGUUACGCGUGCCCACUGCCAGGUAUUAGUUGUUUUUCCAGGCCCCAUUAAGGACUCUUCAUCCUGUCCAGCAAGAGGCAUUAAGCUUUCGCGAGUUAAAGUUGUUCCCAGCUCUGUGUUAUUCAAAGGCAAUUUACACUAAUUAUUCGAGUCCACAGCGUUACCCAUAUUAGCAGAACGAACCAUCUCAGCAGGAAGCUUCAACAGCGACCCCUCCUGGCGACCCAAGCAGCUUACAUGGUACGAAACAGCGACUCCUCUUGGUGACCUGAACCAAGAACAACAAAGAACAACUGCACUUGGUCAAAGAUGAGUGUGACUUUCUCUUCCUCCUUUUAUCCAGGCGCUCUACAAGCAUUCUUAUACAGAUGCAUACGCACAUGCUCUGCCCUCUGGCCGCUCAAACGAUGAAGGUUAUCAAGGUGAAAAACAUCUAUUGAGAUGGAUGGAGAGGAGAGUGGGGCCCACCAGGAAGUGAGAUGGCAACUGACCAAAUAAGCACGGUAAAAUAUUCACAAAGAUAAAAAUGAAAAACAAAACAAAACAAAACAAAAACAAAACACAAAGCACGGGAAAAGAGAACCUAAGGUUGAAAAAUAGCAAAUGUAAAGACCCCGUGGCACACAAUAACAUCACACAUUCUGGGACCUGGAAAUUAAGUGGAAUAUCCCAGCAGUUCAUAGCUGUCCACCCUGACAAGAUAAUAAAGGGGAGGGAGGCUAGAGAUAACACAAGGACUCUCCACUCAUAUGUCCUAGAAAUAUUAUGGACCCUGCAUUUUUUAGGUCUCCAAACUCUCUGGUCACCCAUCGGCACACACCCCUCACAAAGGUUUGAUCAUCACCUUCCUAUCUAGUUAUUAUGUGUACCUCUCUUUCAAGCUAUAUAGUGCUACCCAGUAUUACUUGCUGUGCUUCCCAAAUGUUGGUUCUAAUAUUUCUCCCAUACUGUGUUGACCAUGUCAAAUGCCGCCAGGUUGAUGGGGUCCAAGGACAUCCCCGUAUAUCUUUACUGUUCAUCUUUGCAAGACUUAUGUUCCUCCUUCUCCUCUUGCCACCAGAAUCCUGACCACUCUCUAAGGGUCCUGACCCAAUCAAAGCAAAACCAAAUGAGGUCCAAAGCAAUUCCAGCCAGUGGGACAGCCUGUCCUGUAUGUCCUCUGCCCACAGGGAACCUGGGUCUGCAUCCCAGAAUAUCUCUUCCCUUUUCUUUGGAAUUGAAUGCAUUUGUGAACCACUGCCAAGAUCCCCAAGAGUAUCCAUAAAUUCUAGAACCUACAAUAUAGCUAGAUAUACAACAAGUCCCUAUGGGUUAACAUGUAGGUCAAUUAAUAUAUGAUAUAACCAAAAUUAAUUCUGGUACAAAUAAAAAUAUGAAAGUUAAAAUAAAGCCAGAAUCUAAUUAGUACUUUUUGGUUGUCUACUAAGCAUUCCUUCCUUAAUGAAGUCCCCCAAAUAAAAUGUUUACACAUACACACACACACACACACACACAACUGAACUUCACUUUGCCUAUUGUCUAUGCUAUCCCUGAAUGAUAUUAGCAUCCCACAAUAAACUUCUGAAAGGUACACAAUGGGUGGACUACUGCUAGAAACCAAGAGUGACUUCUCUCUUCUAAAACUUUGCUGUGAACUAGAAUUGGUAUGAGGUCAUUGAAAGGAAUGUAUCCCUUUGGAAUCUGUAGGUGGCUAACAGAAUAGGAUGCCUUAUGCUGCAAUAAAUGAUCAUGUGCACACCCA
rnacentral:lncRNA from 1 species